AUGUUCACCAGAUUUUUAGGGACAGAAAGUUCAGGCCCAUCUCUUGCUGGAAGAAUUGCAAUGCCCCCUUCUCUCUCUUGUCAUUUCUGCAGGUGUGCACAUACACACUGCACUUCUGUUAUGUGUGGAAAUGAAAUGCCUCCUUCCAGCAGUUACCAGCUUGGAAGACAAAAUGUACUUCAGGGCUGUUUCCUGAACAAUUCCAGCUGCUGCAAAGAUAACACUGGUGAUAUAUAGAGCUGUAACACAGAGGAGGUCUACGCACCCACAACAAGAGUAGCAUCCAUUCAGAUGUGCCAGAAAUGCAAGGAUCAUCCUACACUCUUUCUCUCACUUUCACUGACAUUUUCUCUUCUUUUCAUUCUUAUCAUUUUCCUUUUCCCUUAAUCUGAAAGAUUUCAAAGGAAAAAUUUGUGUUCUGCCAUUUGCACAUGACCUUACGUGAACUUUAACAGACUUCAAGGAGGUGGUGAGGGGAAUAUAAACACAUAUGCUUUCUAAUCUGCUCAGCUCUUCAAUUAAAAAUUGAUAGGUGAAAUCUGCCUGCAGAAGUUGCCUGCCAUGAGUUUCUCUCCCCGUGCCACAGUCUUGGCGCUAGGGAACACCCGCUGGCCUCCUGUGAGAACGUGCAGAAAUGUGGCCUGGGAGGCAGGACCAUCCUCUGCCAAACACGUUGGCUGGGCACGUUUGCCAGACAACAGCUAGCCACUUUCUGAGCCUGUAAAAAUUUUGGAAAAGGGUUUCCUCCGCAUAGCUCAGGAGGAGGAGGCAGAACGGGCAGCUCCCUUCAGUACUGCACUAAUUCUGUUGCCUUUCAAGCACUGGGAGCAUUUCCCACCCAAGCAGCUUGUGCCAGAGCUGAGUGUUUUUGGCAAAGCCAGCCUGUCAGGCUCACUUGCUGUGGUGAGCCAGCAGCCAUCCUUGCAACUGGCAACGAGCUUUUCCCACUCAGACCCACAGAGAUCACUGCAGAAGCUGUUACUCAUCUCAUAGCAGGGCCAGAUACGUCCUUCUGAAACACUUUUUACCCCACAGGCAGUAAAACACUUUGGGUCACAGUCAGUUGGCCUGAGCUUCUGUGUCUGGUUGGCUCGGUGUAACAGCCUGCACUCCCAAGUACUUUUAGCCAUUGAAGUUUCCUCUUUGAAAUCUUCAGGUCCUUCCAGUACAGGUAAACCCUUGUAAAGUGUGAAUUUAGUACUGUGUAGUCUUGAAUUGUGGGAUUCUAUAGAUUAUA
rnacentral:lncRNA from 1 species